rnacentral:sRNA from 1 species
UCAUAGCCCUGAUGGUAACAGCAUCCUUUUUGCGAGGCUUCGAGAGCCUCAGCCUAACAAACCCAACGUCUUUCGCAAAAAGAUAUAGUCGAUAGCAGGUUCCCGG